rnacentral:rRNA from 1 species
ACGAAGGCUGCAGUGUAACCCCGAAAAGCGCAACGGCGGAACCGUCG